AGCGGUGCGGGGCUGGGACCCCCCCCCUUAACUCCAGCAGGGGGGACGAGGUUUGAGCCCCCCCCGCUUUAAUUUUUGCCCUCUCUCCAGGCUAAAUUCCGGAGUGUGAGGAUUGUGAGCGCGGCCACGCUGGGGGUGCCGGGGGGCAGCGCGCUGGUGCUGGGGGAGGCGGCGCGGCGGAGGGAGACGGUGCUGGAGAUCAUCCAGGCCAAGCGGGUGCCCAUCUCCCUGUGGAUCCUGGUGGGCAGCAUCCUGGGGGGGCUGCUGCUGCUGGCGCUCAUCAUCUUCUGCCUGUGGAGGCUCGGCUUCUUCACCCGCAAGAAGCUCCCGGAGGAGGAGGAGAAGGAGGAGAAGGAGGGGCAGUGAGCCCCGGCGGCCCCCGCGCGCUUCCCGGCUCUCUCCAGCCCCCGCUGCCCCCCGAGCCCGGCACCUGGGAACAACGGGGGGGGGCUCGGGGGACUCUGCCCCCCACCCCAGUUUUGGUUCCACCGUGGCCGAGGGCGCUGCCGGUGCCGGGUUGUGCUGGCGCGGACGCAGCCAGGUGAGGUUGGGGCCGGUGCCGCGGCACAGGAGCUGCGGGGCUGGGCCCGGAGGAGACGGGGACGGAGGUGGGGGGGCGAGCACCCAGCGAAUUGGGCCCCCCCCAAAUAAAGUUCAGCCCCGUGGAGGUGCUCACCCGUGUGUGACCUGCCAGCGCUCUGCCCUGCCUCGGGGAGGGGGUGGGGGGGGGGUAAGAAAGGGGAGCCCCAAAAGGCUCUGAGGUGUGAAGGGGAGGGGGAGCCCCUGUGCGCCCCCCCCCGUGCCCAAAAUCCCCCCUCUGAGGUCUCUCGGCGCUGCCCUGGGGUUCCCGGGAUGGCCGAGGGAGGGAAUCCUCCACUUGGGGCCCUCUCCAAGCCUUGGGGGUGCAGGAGGGGACCCAGAGCUGACCCCAAAGGGGUCACCGGGGGGGGGGUUGUGGCACCCCAAAAGCUCCCCCUGCCCGCACAGGGCUCUUCGGGGGGGCACAAAAUGGUAAAGAACGGGGAAAAAGCAACGGGAUAAAGCCGGGAGGGGAAAUGUUCAGCCCGGGUGCUUUUUCCCUUCUUUUUCCUCCCAACGAGGAGCCUGCUGCAGAGUGGGGACGGGCCUGGCCCUAAAAACACAAGGAGCAGGGGGAGAGGUGCAGGGGGUGGGGGGGGUCUCCUUCCCCUAAACCCCAAUGCAAGGGGGGGGACCCUGGGGGCACCAAGUCAGGGGGUUCCUGAUACCCUCAGCCCCAUGCAGCCCUUGGGGACAAGGUGGGUGCCUCAUCAAGGCCACCCUCCCCCAGCCAUGCUGCUGCCACCCCAAACCUGACGCCCCAAAAACCCAUCUGCCCCCCAAAAAAACCCUUUUCUGGACACCCCCCCGAGCUCACUUCCCUCCCCGUGACUCCUCCGCCCCCCAAAAACCUGCUCAAGCUUCUGCUCUUCUUUAGAAAGGCCUUUAUUUGACUUCACAGAAUCACAGAAUCUCUAGGUUGGAAGAGACCUCAAGAUCAUCGAGUCCAACCUCUGACCUAACACUAACAGUCCCCACUAAACCAUAUCCCUAAGUUCUACAUCUAAACGUCUUUUGAAGACUUCCAGGGAUGGUGACUCAACCAC
rnacentral:lncRNA from 1 species